GUAUGCUAAGUGGGGAGAUAGCGGUGCCCUGUAACCCACAACCCGCUCAGUGGGGCUGAAUUCCUUCUGAAGGUAUAUUCUUUUUCAGAAGGUCUUUAAUUAGAAAAGUUGAAGGAAGGAAGCCAGGAAAUCUUAGAGUUACAAACCCCGCCAGGUCUGGAAGGAAGCAACGGUAAGUAACUUUUAAGAUGUUCCCUGGUAAAUCUUUCUGGAUUUUUUAGUUAAAGAAGACCUGAGGAAGAAUAUAUCGUACGAAGGUGCAUAC
rnacentral:SRP_RNA from 2 species